UUUAAUAGAAAUUUUUAUUUGGAUAAUAUAUUUUGUUCUUUACAACUUAAGGUCCAAAAUACAAAACAUAAAAGGCAAAACAUUUAGCAUUCGAUCUUCAAAACAAAAACUAACAAAGUUAGGUAGUUGGUUAUGGCUGGCAUAGACAGUGCUGGUUUGGUAGGAGACUUCGCGGACAUAUACUCUGAAAAUGCCGGAUCUUUACCUCGCAUAUAGCUGAGCACCAUCUCUAAAGUGCUGAUUUGGCUUUGUUGCUAUGCAGCUCAUGCUGCAUUUUCAAUGUCUCAUCGAGCAUUAGCGGGCUGCUUGCUCUUCAGUUUGACACUGAUCAGCUUGUAAUUGUUCUUGUGAGUCUACAAAUGAAGAAGAGGACAUUCCAGGGCCUUCUUUUCUCUUCUUGUUACCGUAAAUUGGACGAAGGCUACUAAUUCCAUACUCACGUCCUCUUAUA
rnacentral:lncRNA from 1 species